GCUUGGGAAUCUGCCUAGUAGUGGGGGACAACCGUUGGAAACGACGGCUAAUACCGCAUACGCCCUACGGGGGAAAGCGGGGGCGUCUUCGGACCUCGUGCUAUUAGAUGAGCCCAAGUCGGAUUAGUUAGUUGGUGGGGUAAAGGCCUACCAAGGCGACGAUCCGUAGCUGGUUUGAGAGGAUGAUCAGCCACACUGGGACUGAGACACGGCCCAGACUCCUACGGGAGGCAGCAGUGGGGAAUAUUGCACAAUGGGCGCAAGCCUGAUGCAGCCAUGCCGCGUGUGUGAAGAAGGCCU
rnacentral:rRNA from 1 species